rnacentral:rRNA from 1 species
CUACGGGGGGCAGCAGCAAGGAAUAUUGCGCAAUGGGCGAAAGCCUGACGCAGCGACGUCGCGUGGGGGAUGAAUGUCUUCGGAUUGUAAACCCCUUUUCUCAGGGAAGAAUAAUGACGGUACCUGAGGAAUAAGUCUCGGCUAACUACGUGCCAGCAGCCGCGGUAAUACGUAGGAGGCGAGCGUUAUCCGGAUUUACUGGGCGUAAAGAGGGCGUAGGCGGUCUUUCAAGUCGGAUGUAAAAUCUCCCGGCUCAACUGGGAGGGCGCAUUCGAUACUGUUAGACUUGAGGGCAGCAGAGGAAAGCGGAAUUCCCGGUGUAGUGGUGAAAUGCGUAGAUAUCGGGAGGAACACCAGUGGCGAAGGCGGCUUUCUGGGCUGCAUCUGACGCUGAGGCCCGAAAGCGUGGGGAGCGAACAGGAUUAGAUACCCUUGUAGUC